rnacentral:lncRNA from 1 species
AUUCCUAAAUAUUUUUGUGGCAGUCUGGAUAAGCAUCAUGAACACUUGGCGUUUGUUAACCUGAAAGCUGAAAACUACGUCCUAUUUGAUAAGAGUCAAUUUAUGGACGAAAAGCAUCUGAAGGUUUUGUUUGAUAUUUCAAAAAUUUUACGCUUUGUCCUUUGCAUUUAAAGCUCAGAAUUUUGAAAAGUAUAACGAACUGAUCAAGCCGGUUCAAAAUAUUUUUGCCGUGUUUUCAACGACGGAAAGCCUGAACAAGCAAAUGCAAGAAAACUUUAAAUCAGCUCUGGAUUAUGUCAACGAAAACAGCAAACAUAACGUUUGGAAAAUACAACCGUUGGUAGAUGAUUUUGAUAAUUAUAAAUCUAGAGGAUUCAAUUAUACAGGCAAAUAUGCCGCAUGGACACAUGGCGACUGUUGGUCAAACAAUUUGAUGUUCAAGUACCGUGCAAAUGGAGAGUUAGAAUACAUAAAACUUCUCGAUCAUCAACUUGGAAGAGACUCGACUCCUGUGCACGAUCUUUCAUACCUUUUCUACUCAGGAGCAUCAAAAGCAGAAUUCGAUAAACUUGACUACUAUACUAUCAGAGUUUUUCAAAAUUCGCUAGGAGAGAAGCAGCAAAACGUGAUCAAAGUGAGGACCCAUUGGAGCAACUUGUUGAACUAGGGAAAAAAGGUCGCAGCCAUCCUUCAUUUAAGAGGAAUAUCAGCGAUAUUCUGAUACAUGCAGCUGAAUACGGAAUAAUUUAGUUAAUAUGAUAAUAAUAAAUUUUCAAAUUUAUAAAUAGGUAAAAAGUUUUAUAUAACCAAGUGCUAGCCAUAAUUUAUUUACCCACAAAUUCCAUCAAUAAAUUACUCAAAUUACUUACAAGUAUUAUCCAUUUUUUGCUUUCAUAAGUAAUUGUGAUAUACUAUUAUUAAAGAGUAGAUAGAUGAUUUCUAUAAAGUCUCCAACAAAAGAAACUCUUUGUUUCAAAAUUUAAAUGUUAGUUUAUAUGUGAUAUGGCAAGCUCACAACACUGAAUUUUUUAUUCGAAAUAUAUCAGGGUAAGCAAAAUAUAACUAUAAUUGGAUUUCCUCGCAAAGAUUGCAGGCCAUAACGGAGAUGCUUUGUGAUAGAUCAUUUUAUCCGUACCCACAUGGCGUUUGUUGCUGUAAAUGUGUGCCGAAAAUUAUGCCACAUUUCUGGUUUAAUUGAUCUGCAUAACGAAUAAACGUUUAUAAUGUUA